rnacentral:rRNA from 1 species
UACAGAGGUCCCAAGCGUUGUUCGGAUUCACUGGGCGUAAAGGGUGCGUAGGCGGUCGGGUAAGUCUGAUGUGAAAUCUCACAGCUUAACUGUGAAACUGCAUUGGAUACUAUUCGGCUAGAGAGUUGGAGGGGGGACUGGAAUUCUCGGUGUAGCAGUGAAAUGCGUAGAUAUCGAGAGGAACACCAGUGGCGAAGGCGGUUCUCUGGGCCUUACCUGACGCUGAGGAGCGAAAGCGUGGGGAGCGAACAGG